rnacentral:rRNA from 1 species
UACGUAGGGGGCUAGCGUUGUCCGGAUUUAUUGGGCGUAAAGAGCGUGUAGGCGGCCAGGUAGGUCUGCUGUGAAAACUCGAGCUACACCGUCGAGACGUCGGCGGAAACCAUCUGGCUAGAGUCCGGAAGAGGAGAGUGGAAUUCCUGGUGUAGCGGUGAAAUGCGCAGAUAUCAGGAAGAACACCCGUGGCGAAGGCGGCUCUCUGGGACGGUACUGACGCUGAGACGCGAAAGCGUGGGGAGCGAACAGG